rnacentral:rRNA from 1 species
UAGCAAGAAAAUUUUUUGAAUUAGAUUUCUCGAAACCUGAGGAGCUACCUUAAUUUUGGUUUAGCCUUAGAUAAAGGUGGGUGUGGCAUAACCCUAUUUAAAAUUUAAGGUAGAAAUUAAAUGUUAUUCGUUUCAGGUGAUAGCUAGUUAUGACAUAAAGAUAUAUAAGUAUCGGAUAUAAUUUUAUUAUAUGUUUAUAUUAUAUACAUAUAAUGACUUAUUUUCUUAGUUAUGCGAGGGUAAGCUCGUAUAAAUUUAAUUUAAUUAAAAUUAUAUAUGAAUCUAGGCUUGAGAUUAGCCAUGGUUUGGAAUUUGUUAAAAAUGCAUAUAUAUACAAAAACUUUGUAAUAUAUUAAAUUUAUGUUAUUCAAUUACGUAAUUAAGGCAUGGUUGAUUUAUGCUAAAAUGAGUAUUAUUAUGAGCUAAAACAAAAAAUAAAUUAAAUUUUUUUAAAAAUUUUUUAUAAAUAUUAUAAAAUAUAUCAUAGGAACUCGGCAAAAAUUUAGCUCCGCCUGUUUAGCAAAAACAUGUCUCUUUG